UCCCUCUCAGGGUUGCACCUGGAGAGUUUCCAGUCCUCCACCAGUCUCGGCUACGGGAGGGAGAGUCAAGCAGAGACCUGCCCAUUCCAUUCCUAGCUUGGCCAGUGGCUAGCGAGAGGAAGGCCAUCUGCUACAAGU
rnacentral:snoRNA from 1 species